rnacentral:rRNA from 1 species
UCCUACGGGACGCAGCAGUGAGGAAUAUUGGUCAAUGGGCGGAAGCCUGAACCAGCCAAGUCGCGUGAGGGAAUAAGGCCCUACGGGUCGUAAACCUCUUUUGCCGGGGAGCAAGGGCGGGGACGUGUCCCGGCCCGGAGAGUACCCGGAGAAAAAGCAUCGGCUAACUCCGUGCCAGCAGCCGCGGUAAUACGGAGGAUGCGAGCGUUAUCCGGAUUUAUUGGGUUUAAAGGGUGCGCAGGCGGUCUGUUAAGUCAGCGGUCAAAGCCCGGGGCUCAACCCCGGCCCGCCGUUGAAACUGGCAG